GAUGAACGCUGGCGGCGUGCCUAAUACAUGCAAGUCGAGCGAACGGACGAGAAGCUUGCUUCCCUGAUGUUAGCGGCGGACGGGUGAGUAACACGUGGAUAACCUACCUAUAAGACUGGGAUAACUUCGGGAAACCGUAGCUAAUACCGGAUAAUAUUUUGAACCGCAUGGUUCAAAAGUGAAAGACGGUCUUGCUGUCACUUAUAGAUGGAUCCGCGCUGCAUUAGCUAGUUGGUAAGGUAACGGCUUACCAAGGCAACGAUGCAUAGCCGACCUGAGAGGGUGAUCGGCCACACUGGAACUGAGACACGGUCCAGACUCCUACGGGAGGCAGCAGUAGGGAAUCUUCCGCAAAGGGCGAAAGCCUGACGGAGCAACGCCGCGUGAGUGAUGAAGGUCUUCGGAUCGUAAAACUCUGUUAUUAGGGAAGAACAUAUGUGUAAGUAACUGUGCACAUCUUGACGGUACCUAAUCAGAAAGCCACGGCUAACUACGUG
rnacentral:rRNA from 1 species